rnacentral:rRNA from 1 species
GACAGAGGGUGCAAACGUUGUUCGGAAUUACUGGGCGUAAAGCGAGUGUAGGCGGUCUGAAAAGUCGGAUGUGAAAGCCCCGGGCUCAACCCGGGAAGUGCAUUCGAAACUGCCAGGCUGGAGUGUCGGAGAGGUUGGUGGAAUUCUCGGUGUAGAGGUGAAAUUCGUAGAUAUCGAGAGGAACACCGGUGGCGAAGGCGGGUCUCUGGGCAAUAACUGACGCUGAGAAGCGAAAGCGUGGGGAGCGAACAGG